AACGAACGCUGGCGGCAUGCCUAACACAUGCAAGUCGAACGAGACCUUCGGGUCUAGUGGCGCACGGGUGCGUAACGCGUGGGAACCUGCCCUUAGGUUCGGAAUAACUCCCCGAAAGGGGUGCUAAUACCGGAUAAUGUCUUCGGACCAAAGAUUUAUCGCCUUUGGAUGGGCCCGCGUUGGAUUAGCUAGUUGGUAGGGUAAAAGCCUACCAAGGCGACGAUCCAUAGCUGGUCUGAGAGGAUGAUCAGCCACACUGGGACUGGGACACGGCCCAGACUCCUACGGGAGGCAGCAGUGGGGAAUAUUGGACAAUGGGCGAAAGCCUGAUCCAGCAAUGCCGCGUGAGUGAUGAAGGCCUUAGAGUUGUAAAGCUCUUUUACCCGGGAUGAUAAUGACAGUACCGGGAGAAUAAGCUCCGGCUAACUCCGUG
rnacentral:rRNA from 1 species